UGGAUUAUGACUUGCUUUUCAUACCAGUUCUUUUUCCUUGUCAUUGGGCACUUGGGACUGACAUGCCUUGUUUGCAAACACAUAUGAAGGAACACUUACUUCAAAAAUGCUUCUAGUUUAAUAAAAUGCCACACAACUUAA